UUUGCUUCUCGGCCUUUUGGCUAAGAUCAAGUGUAGUAUAUGUUCUUAUCAGUUUAAAAUAUUCACUUUAAAUAUUAGCACUUUAUUCAUAAUUUAUACAAAGCAAGACACGAUUGAGAUUUAGUGUUCUAUUAACAAUUUUGAAAUUACAUAAAAUUCUUUGAGUAAUGUUGAGGCAGU
rnacentral:snRNA from 1 species